AUUGAACGCUGGCGGCAGGCCUAACACAUGCAAGUCGAGCGAGCGGCAGACGGGUGAGUAAUGUAUGGGGACUGCACGAUAGAGGGGGAUGACUACUGUAAACGGUGGCUAAUAGCGCAUACUAUCGACUAACCAAUCUGGGAUUAGCUAGUAGGUGGGGUAAAGGCUCAUCUAGGCGACGAUCUCUAGCUGGUCUGAGAGGAUUAUCAGCCAUACUGGGACUGAGACACGGACCAGACUCUUACGGGGGCAGCAGUGGGGAAUAUUGCACAAUGGGCGAAAGCCUGAUGCAGCCAGGCCGCGUGUAUGAAGAAGGCCUUAGGUUUGUAAAGUACUUUCAGCGGGGAGGCGUUACCCGCAGAAGAAGCACCGGCUAACCCCGUGCCAGCAGCCGCGGUACUUC
rnacentral:rRNA from 1 species